rnacentral:rRNA from 1 species
GAUGAACGCUAGCUACAGGCUUAACACAUGCAAGUCGCGGGGCAGCAUGGGGGUUGCUUGCAAUCCCCGAUGGCGACCGGCGCACGGGUGAGUAACGCGUAUCCAACCUGCCCUUCACCACGGGAUAACCCGGCGAAAGUCGGACUAAUACCGUAUGUUGUCCAUUGACGGCAUCCGAUUUGGACGAAAGGUUUGGCGGUGAAGGAUGGGGAUGCGUCCGAUUAGCUGGACGGCGGGGUGACGGCCCACCGUGGCGACGAUCGGUAGGGGUUCUGAGAGGAAGGUCCCCCACACUGGAACUGAGACACGGCCCAGACUCCUACGGGAGGCAGCAGUGAGGAAUAGUGGGCAAGGGGCGUAAGCCUGAACCAGCCAAGUAGCGUGCAGGAUGACGGCCCUAUGGGUUGUAAACUGCUUUUAUGCGGGGAUAAAGUGGCCCACGUGUGGGUUUUUGCAGGUACCGCAUGAAUAAGGACCGGCUAAUUCCGUG